rnacentral:rRNA from 1 species
GAUGAACGCUGACAGAAUGCUUAACACAUGCAAGUCAACUUGAACUUCGGUUUGGGUGGCGAACGGGUGAGUAACGCGUAAAGAACUUGCCUCACAGAUAGGGACAACAUUUGGAAACGAAUGCUAAUACCUGAUAUUAUGAUUAUAUGGCAUCGUAUAAUUAUGAAAGCUAUAUGCGCUGUGAGAGAGCUUUGCGUCCCAUUAGCUAGUUGGAGAGGUAACGGCUCACCAAGGCGAUGAUGGGUAGCCGGCCUGAGAGGGUGAUCGGCCACAAGGGGACUGAGACACGGCCCCUACUCCUACGGGAGGCAGCAGUGGGGAAUAUUGGACAAUGGACCAAGAGUCUGAUCCAGCAAUUCUGUGUGCACGAUGAAGUUUUUCGGAAUGUAAAGUGCUUUCAGUUGGGAAGAAAAAAAUGACGGUACCAACAGAAGAAGUGACGGCUAAAUACGUG